UACGAAGGGGGCUAGCGUUGUUCGGAAUUACUGGGCGUAAAGCGCACGUAGGCGGAUUGUUAAGUUAGGGGUGAAAUCCCGGGGCUCAACCCCGGAACUGCCUUUAAUACUGGCAAUCUCGAGUCCGAGAGAGGUGAGUGGAAUUCCGAGUGUAGAGGUGAAAUUCGUAGAUAUUCGGAGGAACACCAGUGGCGAAGGCGGCUCACUGGCUCGGUACUGGACGCUGAGACGCGAAAGCGUGGGGAGCAAACGGGG
rnacentral:rRNA from 1 species